UACGGAGGGGACUAGCGUUGUUCGGAAUUACUGGGCGUAAAGCGCACGUAGGCGGAUUGUUAAGUCAGGGGUGAAAUCCUGGAGCUCAACUCCAGAACUGCCUUUGAUACUGGCGAUCUUGAGUCCGGGAGAGGUGAGUGGAACUGCGAGUGUAGAGGUGAAAUUCGUAGAUAUCAGGAGGAACACCGAUGGCGAAGGCAGCUCGCUGGGACGGUACUGACGCUGAGGCGCGAAAGCGUGGGGAGCAAACAGG
rnacentral:rRNA from 1 species